rnacentral:rRNA from 1 species
GGACUACCCGGGUAUCUAAUCCUGUUUGCUCCCCACGCUUUCGCACAUCAGCGUCAAUACCGGACCAGGUAGCCGCCUUCGCCACCGGUGUUCUUCCCAAUAUCUACGAAUUUCACCUCUACACUGGGAAUUCCGCUACCCUCUUCCGGAUUCAAGCUCGCCAGUCUUAAAAGCAAUUCCCGGGUUGAGCCCAGGGCUUUCACUCCUAAUUUAGCGAGCCGCCUACGUGCGCUUUACGCCCAGUAAUUCCGAACAACGCUAGCCCCCUUCGUAUUACCGCGGCGGCUGGCAC